rnacentral:RNase_P_RNA from 1 species
CGAAGCAGGCGAGGCAAUCGCCGGCGCAGUGUCGAAAGGCAGCGCGGGAGGAAAGUCCGAGCUCUACAGGGCAGGGUGCUGGGUAAUCCCCAGUGGGAGCGAUCCUAAGGAUAGUGCCACAGACAUGGAGACCGCCGAUGGCAGGGCCUAGGGCCUUAGCACAGGCAAGGAUGCAACGGUGCGGUAAGAGCGCACCAGCGCUGCGGAGACGCAGCGGCUAGGUAAACCCCACCUGGAGCAAGACCGCAUAGGAGUGCACAUGUGGUGGCCCGCCACGCACUCGGGUAGGUUGCUUGAGCGCCCUGGCAACAGUGCGCCUAGAUAGAUGAUUGCCACCUCGUCUGUGCGAGGCAAGUGAUCUUGGCGGGACUCCGCAAGGAAGCGCGCGGGGACCUUGCCGCUUGCAGCACGUGAGGAACAGAACUCGGCUUAUUGCCUGCUUCGUCUA